rnacentral:rRNA from 1 species
UACAGAGGGGGCAAGCGUUGUUCGGAAUUACUGGGCGUAAAGGGCUCGUAGGCGGCCAACUAAGUCCGACGUGAAAUCCCAAGGCUUAACCUUGGAACUGCGUCGGAUACUGGAUGGCUUGAAUUCGGGAGAGGGAUGCGGAAUUCCAGGUGUAGCGGUGAAAUGCGUAGAUAUCUGGAGGAAUACCGGUGGCGAAGGCGGCAUCCUGGACCGACAUUGACGCUGAGGAGCGAAAGCUAGGGGAGCAAACGGG